GAAAAGGAUGUGGCGUUGCCCAGACAACUAGGAUGUUGGCUUAGAAGCAGCCAUCAUUUAAAGAGUGCGUAAUAGCUCACUAGUCGAGUGACACUGCGCCGAAAAUGUACCGGGGCUAAACAUAUUACCGAAGCUGUGGAUUGUCCUUUGGACAAUGGUAGGAGAGCGUUCUAAGGGCGUUGAAGCAUGAUCGCAAGGACAUGUGGAGCGCUUAGAAGUGAGAAUGCCGGUGUGAGUAGCGAAAGACGGGUGAGAAUCCCGUCCACCGAUUGACUAAGGUUUCCAGAGGAAGGCUCGUCCGCUCUGGGUUAGUCGGGUCCUAAGCUGAGGCCGACAGGCGUAGGCGAUGGAUAACAGGUUGAUAUUCCUGUACCACCAUUAUUCGUUUUAAGCGAUGGGGGGACGCAGUAGGAUAGGCGAAGCGUGCUGUUGGAGUGCACGUCCAAGCAGUGAGAUUGAGUGUUAGGCAAAUCCGGCACUCUUAAGAUUGAGCUGUGAUGGGGAGAGGAACUUGUUCCUCGAGUCGUUGAUUUCACACUGCCGAGAAAAGCCUCUAGCUAGAAUAACGGUGCCCGUACCGCAAACCGACACAGGUAGUCAAGAUGAGAAUUCUAAGGUGAGCGAGCGAACUCUCGUUAAGGAACUCGGCAAAAUGACCCCGUAACUUCGGGAGAAGGGGUGCUCUUUGAGGUUCACGCUUCGAAGAGCCGCAGUGAAUAGGCCCAAGCGACUGUUUAUCAAAAACACAGGUCUCUGCUAAACCGUAAGGUGACGUAUAGGGGCUGACGCCUGCCCGGUGCUGGAAGGUUAAGAGGAGUGGUUAGCGCAAGCGAAGCUACGAAUCGAAGCCCCAGUAAACGGCGGCCGUAACUAUAACGGUCCUAAGGUAGCGAAAUUCCUUGUCGGGUAAGUUCCGACCCGCACGAAAGGCGUAACGAUUUGGGCACUGUCUCAACGAGAGACUCGGUGAAAUCAUAGUACCGGUGAAGAUGCCGGUUACCCGCGACAGGACGGAAAGACCCCGUGGAGCUUUACUGUAGCCUGAUAUUGAAAUUCGGUACAGUUUGUACAGGAUAGGUAGGAGCCUUAGAAGCGUGAGCGCUAGCUUACGUGGAGGCAUUGGUGGGAUACUACCCUAAUUGUAUUGGAUUUCUAACCCGCAGCACUUAUCGUGCUGGGAGACAGUGUCAGGCGGGCAGUUUGACUGGGGCGGUCGCCUCCUAAAGAGUAACGGAGGCGCUCAAAGGUUCCCUCAGAAUGGUUGGAAAUCAUUCAUAGAGUGUAAAGGCAUAAGGGAGCUUGACUGCGAGACCUACAAGUCGAGCAGGGUCGAAAGACGGACUUAGUGAUCCGGUGGUUCCGCAUGGAAGGGCCAUCGCUCAACGGAUAAAAGCUACCCCGGGGAUAACAGGCUUAUCUCCCCCAAGAGUUCACAUCGACGGGGAGGUUUGGCACCUCGAUGUCGGCUCAUCGCAUCCUGGGGCUGUAGUCGGUCCCAAGGGUUGGGCUGUUCGCCCAUUAAAGCGGUACGCGAGCUGGGUUCAGAACGUCGUGAGACAGUUCGGUCCCUAUCCGUCGUGGGCGUAGGAAAUUUGAGAGGAGCUGUCCUUAGUACGAGAGGACCGGGAUGGACAUACCUCUGGUGUACCAGUUGUCGUGCCAACGGCAUAGCUGGGUAGCUAUGUAUGGACGGGAUAAGUGCUGAAAGCAUCUAAGCAUGAAGCCCCCCU
rnacentral:rRNA from 1 species